rnacentral:rRNA from 1 species
AAAUUGAAGAGUUUGAUCAUGGCUCAGAUUGAACGCUGGCGGCAGGCCUAACACAUGCAAGUCGAACGGUAGCACAGAGAGCUUGCUCUCGGGUGACGAGUGGCGGACGGGUGAGUAAUGUCUGGGAAACUGCCUGAUGGAGGGGGAUAACUACUGGAAACGGUGGCUAAUACCGCAUAACGUCGCAAGACCAAAGAGGGGGACCUUCGGGCCUCUUGCCAUCAGAUGUGCCCAGAUGGGAUUAGCUAGUUGGUGAGGUAACGGCUCACCAAGGCGACGAUCCCUAGCUGGUCUGAGAGGA